CGCUGAUCUUAGAGAAUUUUCCCCAAAAUUUGAAUACUGAUUUAGAUAUGAUUGAAAUCAGUUUUCCAGAAUCCUCGGUUAUCUAAAGUUUUAGGCUAUCAUGAAACCAAGUUGAAAUUACUUCUUGGCAAAUCUCCAUAUCUUUUUAUCUCUAAUAGGCCACACAUUAUCCUAUUUUGUGUGGUUAUUGGGUUCUUACUAUUGUCUGUUUUUGCCUUCCUGCCAUCCUCUCUACCUUUGGCCUCUUGGUUCUCCUCUUCCUAACAGUUCAUGACCAGCUCCCCUCCUUUCUCUGUUCCCUGCCUCUAAGAGUCCGCAUGCCCAAGGGCUUUGUCCUUGAACUUGUCGCCUGUCCACAUCAACUGCCCGAGUGACCUCAUUUCUCUCAGUAACUUUCUAUAGCUUGCUGAUUCCUGGAUUUGAGCUGUGAAGCCCUGUUUGGGAGACUGAGGCUUCUUUUUAAAGUUGUGUCAAUCUUGACAUUUAACAUAAACCGCAUCGUAUAUCUGACCAGUGACUCGUUGUUCUGUGGUGUUUGAUGUUUUUCAGAAGCCCUUCUGUUGAGGUGGACACCAAGAGUGAGAAUACUUCAUCAUCCGAGGGAGCCAACGGUACCCUGCUGAUCCACAGCCCCGCAGAACUCAAAAGCGGCUGGAGGAAGCAGAAGGGGUACCUCUCCUCAUUUAGUGAUUCGUUGCUUGCGUCUAAUACCACAAGCCCUUCUGUUGAGGUGGACACCAAGAGUGAGAAUACUUCAUCAUCCGAGGGAGCCAACGGUACCCUGCUGAUCCACAGCCCCGCAGAACUCAAAAGCGGCUGGAGGAAGCAGAAGGGGUACCUCUCCUCAUUUAGUGAUUCGUUGCUUGCGUCUAAUACCACGUAUCAAAAGAACUUUAAGAUAAAAGAUAAAACACCACUGAGAACCAUGUGAACUGCCAACCAUAUACACAAGGCUGGUGAAGCCGGCGUCGUUGCCAGAAAGUCCUUUGUCCUGGGCUGACCCCCGGUGAGCUUUGUGGCCCCCUUCAGGUGAGACCUACAGCUUGGUGUCCUGGAUCUACGUGGGUUCAAAACGAGGACAUUUUCAUCUGCUUGCAUAUUAAGCCAGUGACUCACUUCUUGACUGACCAUAAUGACACACAUGGGCUUCCCUGGUGGCUCAGUGGUCAAGAAUCUGCCUGUAAUGUAGGAGACUUGCGGAAGAUGCCCACUCAACCCCUGGGUCAGGAAGAUCCCCUGGAGGUGGAAAUGGCAACCCACUCCAGUAUUCUGCCUAGGAAAUCCCAUGGACAGAGGAGCCUGGCGGGCUACAGUCCAUGCGGUUACAGAAAGAGUCGGACACGACUGCGUGGCAUAAACAACAGCAAAUGACACACAUGCCUUGUGCUUUUCCCUCCUAAAAAGGUUCUCAUGUGCAAAUGCAUGCAUGUGGAUAGUAACAGUGGAAAUGACCGCAGUGAUUUCCUUUGGUUUUGAUCAGUGGUUUUUCAGAUGGGCUAUGUGAGCUACUUGGGAAGCCAGAUCCUCUUGUGUUCAUGGUAUCCUUGUAUGAGGAAGGAGGAUCAUGAGAGCAAGACUCUAGGACCCCUCACCAAUAUCCUGCCCUCAAUCCCGAUUAUCUUUCUUGAAAAAGUACAAUUAUAUUUGAAAAACUGACUUUAUACUCCCAAAUUAAUUCCCUUUAAAAUGGGAUUUAAUUAUACACAUAACAUUAAUUGUGUCAUCAAAUACUAGGUUGCCUGAAUUGCUGUGUACAAAUAAUCUUAUUUGGUGUGUGUAGAAGGGUGACAGUAAAACACAGCUACGAUUCCAUGGAGCACAGGUCAGUUUUCCAAUUACAUUCUUAGACUGGAGUGAGGACGGGGAAUGUGAAUAUCCCAAGUUGACAGUCCCGGGUUCACCAGCGUCAUGAAACAUUCACCGCUGCCACUUGGAACAACCACACCCCGUAUCUCAGUCUUGUGCACACACCAGGCCCUCAUCACACGCACGUGACACACUUUCUUGUCCUCCUCACCUGACACCAAAAUCUCUUGUCUCAUCACAGAGCUAAGACAACUAAAAUACUGCCGAGUGGUAAAUUGACUAAAUGCUAGAAUUCAGCUGUUGACUUAAUGAAAACUUUGAAAGCUUUUGGGGAAGAAAUAUGUAUUUGUAUCAUUCUCUGUAUGUCUCCUUUCCAUGACUUAUUUCUCUAAAGAUCCAGUUCCUAUUGCUUAAACAUCUUUUCCAUGUUUUAAGUGAAUGGAAGCAGUUUCAUUUGGGAAUGUGCAGUUUCUGAUAAGGGAGUGUCCAAGAAACUUUUUUCCUAGUGAGGCUAGAAAGGAGGAAGCCAGGUUUACACCUGUUAUUUAGGUUUAAAAGCUGUGUGAGAACAUACAUGGCAUUCAUAACAAUGCCUGACACCUAGUGCUUUGGCCAUUUGCUCUUUUACUCUUCUGCAGGUUGCCAUGAGUAAUUAGAAGCUGUGUUCGGGUAUAUAUGCAGGUUGGGAGCUCAGAGGGCACUCUACUUCCUGGUGAAACAGUUCUUGAAAAGGGGAUGAGGGGUAGGAGCAGUGUUUUGGUAGGAAUAUAAAAUGUGGCAGCCAUAGGAGAACAUACAUAUUCUGGGUAUAUAUCCAAGAGAAAUGAAAACUUACAUCCACACAAAAAACGUAUACACAAAUGCUCGUAGCUGCUUUAUCCACCACAGCCAAAAAAAAAAAAAAAAAGGAAAUAGCCUAAGUGUUUAUCAAUUAAUGAAUGUAUAAGCCAAACCUGGUAUGGGGCCUGAGGAUGGAGGAGACUGGGGUGUGACUCCUUAAUGCACACAGGGUUUGCCGUUGGGUAGUGAAAAUAUUCCAGAACUAGAUAAUGGUGAUGGUUGCACAAUAUUGUUAAUCUACAGAUGAUCACUAAUUGUCAGUUGUAUGUUAUGCAUAAUUUACCACAAUAAAUAAAAUUUAAUAAGUGAUAAGUCUGUGUAU
ensembl:lncRNA